GGAAUGGCAAAGCUAAAGUAUACCUGACCAAAUGAAAUACCUGAUGCAAGUGGGGUAUAUUACCAGAGUGAAGAAAAAGAAGAGGGCUGGCAUUUUAAUGAAUGUUUGUUAAACGGGAAGUACCUGGGGGAGAGCUGGAGAGACGUCUGUAGCUGCAAGCUUUCUGCAGGGAAUGAUCUUCCUUGGAAAUUACUUUGAAAGAAGCUGGCAAGGAUCCUGCUCUGCAAAGCAAGAGGAGGAGUCCGGCCCUGGCCAGCAUUGCACUACUCAAAACACUGGAGCUGCUCCUGCCAUCCCCUGCCUGCUGCUCCUCGGGGAACCACGGCUCUGGGAGAGGCUCCUUUGGCACGGUGAGUAUCUGCUAUGAAAGCAGACGGUCUAACUAGCUUGUGGGGUGGCACUGGAGAAUGAUCACCUCUCUGUGUUUGUGUAUGUGUGCAGUCAGUGACACAAACACACGUGAAACGAGAACUCGCUUGCUUUUUCCAACACUGAGGUGAGAAGCAAAAGCUGUUUCCUGGCCCAGCUGGAGUGAGAAAAAGGAGAGCAGCAAUGGGGAGGGCUCCUGGG
rnacentral:lncRNA from 1 species